CAGGAAGUCAGCUUUUGGUCCAGAUUUGGAGGAGUUGCUGAACAGACUUGAUGAUGAGGUAACGGACGUUGUGCGUCAUCGAAGGACCGCAGCACUGAGAGGCCUUCCCAUUUUUCUUCGAGAUGAUGCAUCAGACUUCUUUCUGAAGUGCUUGAACACAGACCCUGAGGAAGAGGUGGUUGAAGGAGUGCCAGUUGGAAUACUUACCGUCUAUGAAGAUGAUGAUAGCGCCACAGCACCACCAAUAGUGACCGAAAUCGCUGUCGUCUUGGAAGGGGCAGUAAUAAAAC